UUAGGAAUUUUGCGCAAUGGGGGAAACCCUGACGCAGCAACGCCGCGUGAGUGAUGAAGGCCUUCGGGUUGUAAAACUCUUUCGAUGGGGACGAAAUAAAUGACGGUACCCAUAGAAGAAGCACCGGCUAACUCCGUGCCAGCAGCCGCGGUAAUACGGAGGGUGCAAGCGUUAUUCGGAAUUACUGGGCGUAAAGCGCGUGUAGGUGGUUUGGUAAGUCUGGUGUGAAAUCCCGGGGCUCAAUUCCGGAAGUGCAUUGGAUACUGCCAAACUUGAGUGUAGGAGAGGAGAGCGGAAUUCCAGGUGUAGAGGUGAAAUUCGUAGAUAUCUGGAGGAACAACAGAGGCGAAGGCGGCUCUCUGGACUGCAACUGACACUGAGACGCGACAGCGUGGGGAGCAAACAGGAGCAAACGG
rnacentral:rRNA from 1 species